rnacentral:lncRNA from 1 species
GCUCACCUAGGAAAAACUAAUCUUUUUUAGAGAAAUAUUAUACAUUCAAGAUUUUAAGCAUCUGCUGUCUGAGCAUCAUCAGCUGCAGCCAAGAUAAGCUCCGGAUGAAUGCUUGACUCUGCUGUCCCGUCGAGUGCAUUAGGCAAUCCCAAUGCCCUUAGCGCAAGGUGUGCUGCCUUCUGCCCUGAUAUCAUCAUAGCUCCAAAAGUUGGUCCCUGAACAAUACAAACACCUCCAAUUAGUUACACUUCAAUUUUACUGUCAAGUUCUUAUAUCUUGGGAUCGGUUAUAUAAGCAAAAUGUAUCCAUUCUACUUUAUCAAGGCAAAUUUGGAAUACUUUUAGACUAGACGCUCUCUACAUCUCACACUUAUCUGUAGGUACAAAUCUAAUGGUGCACGAGUAAUUAUAUAGGAGUUAAAAGUGUGACAAGUUUACUUACCAUUCUUGGUGCUCCGUCAAUUUCAGCAACUUCCAUCCCAGUAACAAUCAUUCCAGGUACAACCUCUCUGGUAAGUCUAACAAUUGCAUCCUCAGCAGCGUUCAUGUCCAAAGCUUUCAUCCCAGGAACAUGGUUGAUCAUGCCAAUGCUCUUAAGCCUCUUAACACCAGUGGCACCCAUGGGACCGUCGUGGCCACAGGAGCUGACCACAAUCUUAGCCUCCAUAACGUUGGGGUCCAUGCAAGAUUGUGUGUCGUGGUUCUGAGAAACCAAAGACCAGUUAGUGACAACACCACCAACUCUUCCGUUCUUCACAAUAAGGUCCUCUGUUGCAACAGCAUUGAAGAGUUUCACGUUUGGCCUGGCCAAAAGCUUGCUCAUGAUGGUUGAGGUGAACAAGGCAGCAUGUUUGAUGACCACGUAGUUGUCUUGCUCGUCAUAGUCUAUGCCUAGCUCGUUCAAGAAGAGAUGUGCUGGCUUACGCACAACCAUGGCCGAGAAGAGUUGUCCUCCUAGCCAGGCACCUCCACCAGGGCUCACUGAUUGCUCAAGUAUGGCCACCUACACAAACCAAGUCAAUUCACAUAAACAACUUAUAACAAGUACAAAUUGGAGAACAUAGGUAUUGUAAUCAGCAACUAUAAUCUAAUCAAGAACAAUUUUAGCAGUUAGAACAUCGAAUAACUUCCCUGUGAUCAUGAAUGCGUGUACCAGCCAGAGGCAGAUCUAGGAUGGGUUAGGUGUGUUCAAUUAAAUUCAUUGACAGGGGUGGAAGCACAAGCCGAACUAUAAGUGCGGCCGAACUCAGUAGCUUUUGUUCAAACAGUGUAUUUGAUGUUUAAAAUUCAUCAAAUAUGUACAAAUAUUAAAUUUAGAACCCAGUAACUAAUACUUGAAGUCGUCAGUCAUGUACUAAGAUCCAAAACCCAUAAGGUUGAAAUCCUAGUUCCGCACAACUUACAAACUCUAGAUCCUAAAUUCAGGAUAAGAUUAUAUCAAAAGCAGUUUCACUCGUUCACAAGUGUAUAUACAACUUUCGCUAAUAAACAUGUGAUUUUUUCUCUUGAUCGGACUCGCUCAAGUUGCACAAGGUCUAAGGAAAAAGGUGUCACAUGAUUUGUGGGUACAAGUAAACUUACAAGUACCUUUAACAAGAAGCCCGUGUUUUUUUCCCCUCCAGCUGCCAAGUCUUAUAUGAAUUUUUUUUAUCCUUUUCGAUUACUAGAAAUACAAGCGAAGCCAAAAAAACAAAUUCCAAAAUUUCCAUCUUUCCGCUAUCAGAAUUUAAUUGAAAAUGUCCAUUAGGCACAUGUCAUAGGCUCUGUUUUAAAAGGCGUUUCUAGGGCGAGCCCCGGGGCGUACCAAAAAAGCCUCGGGGCGAUGGUGUGGGGCGAAAGUCUCAUGAGGCGUAAGGCGUACGCCACGGGCGUUCGGGCCGCGUUUUUUAAUAAGUAGCAAGCCCCAAAGACUUUUUCAAAUUAAAAUAAAAUUUGUUGAAUUAGUCCUUUAUAUAAUACCUAAAUUCUNNNNNNNNNNNNNNNNNNNNNNNNNNNNNNNNNNNNNNNNNNNNNNNNNNNNNNNNNNNNNNNNNNNNNNNNNNNNNNNNNNNNNNNNNNNNNNNNNNNNNNNNNNNNNUGGGGCACACAUAUAUAUAGUUUUCUUCAAUUUUUAUGCAAUUUUACCUGUUUAUAAAUAUUUACUGUCAUUAUAUUAUUUUAUAAAAUAUUAAAACUAAAUACCUAUGGGGCUUACGCCCCGCUGAGGCAUGUAUAAUGUCUCGCCUUACGCCCACGCCAUUUAAAACACGAAUCAUAGGUGCCAAUUAUUCUUCCGCACAAAAAAUCUUGAGAAUUUAAAUGAAAAAUUAUAGGGAAAGCUUAUUUGAAGCUAAAUGGUUUUGUGGGUCUACGUAACUUAUUUAUAGUUUUAUGACCCUAUCUUAUUUUUUACAAAUGAGAGAUUUACGUGAGAGAUCUAUUUUAGACAUAAGAGAUGUAAAAAUGGCACUUUCUUAAUUUCAAUAUUAUGGCUAUGAUAUCCCAUUUCCUCGCUGAUUUGAACCGUAUGUCAUCGUUUGGUACGCAUGCGAAAUUAUUCCGGAAUUAUAGUCCUCCCAGGUGGGAGGUGGGAUAAAUUCUGUAUCAAAUUUAUGGGAUAAGGUGGGAUAACAUAGAUAUCCAGUACCAUUUAGUACCAAACAUUAUCCUAGUACCAUUUAGUACGUUUAUCACAUCUUAUCCUAGUACCAAACAUUUCCUUAUCAUAAAAUAUUUUAAAAUUAGUUAACAAAGUAAACACAAGCCAAUAUAUGGUCUUUCGUCACUUUUGUCUUUUUGUAUCACAAUAUGCCAGAUACAUAUGUUAAAGCAUCCUGCAGCAGGCCUAGAUUAAUCUCAACUUAAAUUUGGAUAUUACUGUGGGAAAAAAUAAAGAAUAAAAAGGAUACCUGAACGUUAGGGUUCUUGCUGAUUUCAUAAGCACAAGAGAGACCAGCAGAGCCAGCGCCAACGAUGACGACAUCAGUGUCAGCAUAGGUGAUCAUGUCGGUCAUGUACCUACGUGUCAUCUCGCGAGAAACGAUGGAUUCCUUGAUUGGGUUGAAAGUGAAAGCGUUAAGAUCAUAAGGAGGAGGAGAGGAAUCAGCAGACAUGGAAAUGGUCAUGUUUUGUUGGGCGGAUUUAACAGGUUUAAGUCUAACUUGUGAAAAAAGAGGGAUACCAGAGAAGGAUGAUUUGUGGGUGUCCAAGAAAUUGGUCUUGGAAACAACAACAGAGGAGGCCAAGGUUGAUGCCAUGGUUGCCAUAGACAAAGCUUCAAGAUCUUGAGAGAGAGAUGACUUCUUCUUUUUUGAGAAUUGGAAGAAUGAAAGAUUGUUUUGAGUGAAGAAGUGAAGGGGAAGAGACGGUAUUUAAAGCAGUGACAAGUAGUGAGUGAUGAGAAAAUAUCUGGGAAUAGUUGAGGACUUGAGGAGUACGUGGACACAAGAAUCCGGCUCCCCUGUUUCUUCCAUUUGCUUUGAAUACCUACGGACUCCUAACCAAACUUAUCGCAU